rnacentral:tRNA from 1 species
GGGGGCGUAGCUCAGUUGGGAGAGCGCUUGAAUGGCAUUCAAGAGGUCACGAGUUCGAUUCUCGUCGUCUCCA